AUAAAGCUAGGCGACUGAAGCA
rnacentral:miRNA from 1 species